rnacentral:rRNA from 1 species
AGCGAACGCUGGCGGCAGGCCUAACACAUGCAAGUCGAACGAACUCUUCGGAGUUAGUGGCGGACGGGUGAGUAACACGUGGGAACGUGCCUUUAGGUUCGGAAUAACUCAGGGAAACUUGUGCUAAUACCGAAUGUGCCCUUCGGGGGAAAGAUUUAUCGCCUUUAGAGCGGCCCGCGUCUGAUUAGCUUGUUGGUGGGGUAAUGGCCCACCAAGGCGACGAUCAGUAGCUGGUCUGAGAGGAUGACCAGCCACAUUGGGACUGAGACACGGCCCAAACUCCUACGGGAGGCAGCAGUGGGGAAUCUUGUGCAAUGGGCGAAAGCCUGACGCAGCCAUGCCGCGUGGAUGAUGAAGGUCUUAGGAUUGUAAAAUCCUUUCACCGGUGAAGAUAAUGACUGUAGCCGUAGAAGAAGCCCCGGCUAACUUCGUGCCAGCAGCCGCAGUAAGAC